ensembl:snoRNA SNORD33 Small nucleolar RNA Z195/SNORD33/SNORD32 family
CUUGUCAGUGAUGUUUUGUUCCACAGAAGUGUUUGAGUUUAAUGACCAUGAGAAUACUUCACAUGCACUUCCAUCUGAGACGAG